rnacentral:rRNA from 1 species
AUUGAACGCUGGCGGCAGGCCUAGCACAUGCAAGUCGAGCGGAUGAGAGGAGCUUGCUUCUCGAUUCAGCGGCGGACGGGUGAGUAAUGCCUAGGAAUCUGCCUGGUAGUGGGGGACAACGUUUCGAAAGGAACGCUAAUACCGCAUACGUCCUACGGGAGAAAGCAGGGGACCUUCGGGCCUUGCGCUAUCAGAUGAGCCUAGGUCGGAUUAGCUAGUUGGUGAGGUAAUGGCUCACCAAGGCGACGAUCCGUAACUGGUCUGAAAGGAUGAUCAGUCACACUGGAACUGAGACACGGUCCAGACUCCUAAGGGAGGCAGCAGUGGGGAAUAUUGGACAAUGGGCGAUAGCCUGAUCCAGCCAUGCCGCGUGUGUGAAGAAGGUCUUCGGAUUGUAAAGCACUUUAAGUUGGGAGGAAGGGUUGUAGAUUAAUAGCACAGCAUUUUGACGUUACCUACAGAAGAAGCACCGGCUGACUCUGUGCCAGCAGCCGCAGUAA